rnacentral:tRNA from 1 species
GCAUUGGUGGUUCAGUGGUAGAAUUCUUGCCUUCCAUGUGGGAGAUCUGGGUUUGAUUCCUAGCCAAUAUA